rnacentral:rRNA from 1 species
UACGUCGGUGGCCCGCUUUUUCCUUAUUUAUUGGGUUUAAAGGGUGCGUAGGCGGCUUUGUAAGUCAGUGGUGAAAUAUGGCAGCUCAACUGUCAGGGUGCCAUUGAUACUGCAGAGCUUGAGUACAGAUGAGGUAGGCGGAAUUGACGGUGUAGCGGUGAAAUGCUUAGAUAUCGUCAAGAACACCGAUAGCGAAGGCAGCUUACUGGGCUGUAACUGACGCUGAGGCACGAAAGUGUGGGGAUCAAACAGG